rnacentral:rRNA from 1 species
GAUGAACGCUGGCGGCGUGCCUAAUACAUGCAAGUCGAGCGAACAGACGAGGAGCUUGCUCCUUUUACGUUAGCGGCGGACGGGUGAGUAACACGUAGGUAACCUACCUAUAAGACUGGGAUAACUUCGGGAAACCGGAGCUAAAACCGGAUAAUAUUUCGAACCGCAUGGUUCGAUAGUGAAAGAUGGCUUUGCUAACACUUAUAGAUGGACCUGCGCCGUAUUAGCUAGUUGGUAAGGUAACGGCUUACCAAGGCAACGAUACGUAGCCGACCUGAGAGGGUGAUCGGCCACACUGGAACUGAGACACGGUCCAGACUCCUACGGGAGGCAGCAGUAGGGAAUCUUCCGCAAUGGGCGAAAGCCUGACGGAGCAACGCCGCGUGAGUGAUGAAGGUCUUCGGAUCGUAAAACUCUGUUAUUAGGGAAGAACAAACGUGUAAGUAACUGUGCACGUCUUGACGGUACCUAAUCAGAAAGCCACGGCUAACUACGUG